rnacentral:rRNA from 1 species
GAAAGGGAGAGUAACGCGUGGACUACCUACCCCCGGGCCCGGGAUAGCGAGGCCUGCUUCGGCAGGUUCCCGAAAGGCUCGGUAAUACCGGAUAACGUCUCCGGACCAAAGGUGUGAUUCCGCCUGGGGACGGGUCCGCGUCCUAUUAGCUUGUUGGUGGGGUAACGGCCUACCAAGGCUGCGAUGGGUACCGGGCGUGAGAGCGUGGCCCGGCUCACUGGGACUGAGACACUGCCCAGACACCUACGGGUGGCUGCAGUCGAGAAUCUUCGGCAAUGGACGAAAGUCUGACCGAGCGACGCCGCGUGCGGGAUGAAGGCCCUCGGGUUGUAAACCGCUGUCAGUUGGGAGGAAAUCCAGCAGGGUCAUCCCUGCUGGUUGACCUAUCUUCAGAGGAAGGACGGGCUAAGUUCGUGCCAGCAGCCGCGGUAACACGAACCGUCCUAACGUUAUUCGGAAUUACUGGGCUUAAAGGGUGCGUAGGCGGCCCUGCAAGUUGGGUGUGAAAGCCCUCGGCUCAACCGAGGAAUUGCGCCCAAAACUGCAGGGCUAGAGGGAGACAGAGGUGAGCGGAACAUGCGGUGGAGCGGUGAAAUGCGUUGAUAUCGC